GACAGAGGGUGCAAACGUUGUUCGGAAUUACUGGGCGUAAAGCGCGUGUAGGCUGCUUCGCAAGUCGGAUGUGAAAGCCCUGGGCUCAACCUAGGAAGUGCAUUCGAAACUGCGAAGCUUGAGUCCUGGAGAGGAAGGCGGAAUUCUCGGUGUAGAGGUGAAAUUCGUAGAUAUCAAGAGGAACACCGGUGGCGAAGGCGGCCUUCUGGACAGUGACUGACGCUGAGACGCGAAAGCGUGGGGAGCAAACAGG
rnacentral:rRNA from 1 species